CCUACGGGCGGCAGCAGUGGGGAAUAUUGGACAAUGGGGGCAACCCUGAUCCAGCCAUGCCGCGUGUGUGAAGAAGGCCCUCGGGUUGUAAAGCACUUUCAGUGAGGAAGAACGCCUGGUGGUUAAUACCCAUCAGGAAAGACAUCACUCACAGAAGAAGCACCGGCUAACUCCGUGCCAGCAGCCGCGGUAAUACGGAGGGUGCGAGCGUUAAUCGGAAUUACUGGGCGUAAAGCGCGCGUAGGUGGCUUGAUAAGCCGGUUGUGAAAGCCCCGGGCUCAACCUGGGACCGGCAUCCGGAACUGUCAAGCUAGAGUGCAGGAGAGGAAGGUAGAAUUCCCGGUGUAGCGGUGAAAUGCGUAGAGAUCGGGAGGAAUACCAGUGGCGAAGGCGGCCUUCUGGACUGACACUGACACUGAGGUGCGAAAGCGUGGGUAGCAAACAGGAUUAGCUACAAUGGUAGUC
rnacentral:rRNA from 1 species